rnacentral:rRNA from 1 species
AGAGUUUGAUCCUGGCUCAGAUUGAACGCUGGCGGCAGGCCUAACACAUGCAAGUCGAGCGGUAACAGAGAGUAGCUUGCUACUUUGCUGACGAGCGGCGGACGGGUGAGUAAUGCUUGGGAACACGCCUUGAGGUGGGGGACAACAGUUGGAAACGACUGCUAAUACCGCAUAAUGUCUACGGACCAAAGGGGGCUUCGGCUCUCGCCUUUAGAUUGGCCCAAGUGGGAUUAGCUAGUUGGUGAGGUAAUGGCUCACCAAGGCGACGAUCCCUAGCUGGUUUGAGAGGAUGAUCAGCCACACUGGGACUGAGACACGGCCCAGACUCCUACGGGAGGCAGCAGUGGGGAAUAUUGCACAAUGGGCGCAAGCCUGAUGCAGCCAUGCCGCGUGUGUGAAGAAGGCCUUCGGGUUGUAAAGCACUUUCAGUCAGGAGGAAAGGUUAACGGUUAAUACCCGCUAGCUGUGACGUUACUGACAGAAGAAGCACCGGCUAACUCCGUGCCAGCAGCCGCGGUAAUACGGAGGGUGCGAGCGUUAAUCGGAAUUACUGGGCGUAAAGCGUACGCAGGCGGUUUGUUAAGCGAGAUGUGAAAGCCCCGGGCUCAACCUGGGAACUGCAUUUCGAACUGGCAAACUAGAGUGUGAUAGAGGGUGGUAGAAUUUCAGGUGUAGCGGUGAAAUGCGUAGAGAUCUGAGGGAAUACCGAUGGCGAAGGCAGCCACCUGGGUCAACACUGACGCUCAUGUACGAAAGCGUGGGGAGCAAACGGGAUUAGAUACCCCGGUAGUCCACGCCGUAAACGAUGUCUACUAGAAGCUCGGAGCCUCGGUUCUGUUUUUCAAAGCUAACGCAUUAAGUAGACCGCCUGGGGAGUACGGCCGCAAGGUUAAAACUCAAAGGAAUUGACGGG